UCUUGAGAAAGCGUUCUGUGUCUUUCAGUUGCUAAAUAGGGGAGAUAAAGGGAAAAUUGUAUUGUUUACACUAUUAAUGACUAUGAAAAAUUGAUCAGAAAAUUCAAGUUAAGAUGUUACAACUGAAUGUGUAGAACUUCUAUUGGGGAGAUAUUCUGUAAUAAAUGGUCACAGAUCAGGAUUUUUUGAACAGCAGAUUUUGGUUUCCUUCUGUUGGGGAAUGGUUAGGUCAGGGCUUGAAGUGGUGAUUGAGCACCUGGUGAAGGGAUGUGUCUGGCCCAGGGAGCACAGGCAGAUUGUUUGCUCCUGUGCUCCCCAGCUGACCAGGAGGGCACAGGUGGAGCCCCUGGGCUCAUUAUAAGGGCCAGCCUCUGAAGGGAGAGCAUCUCUUGGAUCUGGGCUGCUGCUGAUAAGGAGUGCUGCACAGCCAGAGAGCCCCUUCCCCAGCUGGCUUUCAGAGCAGCUGUUCAGUGAUUCCUGAACAUUUCUGCCAGUUCACCAGUCCCUGUUGUUGGAGCACGCUGUAGGUGUUUGUUCAUCUGUUAGCUCCUACAGAGGGUGUAUAUGGAUGUCAGAGCUGCUGCAGCUGGAAUCGUCAGUUGUGAAUUUUCUAUCUCCUGGUAUGGAAAUUCUGUUCCCAAAGAAAGAAUGAAGAGUCCCUGGCUGGAGUUGUGCUUUUUGGAGAGCGUGAGGUCUCUGUUCAGUAAUGCUCAGAGGAUUCUGUAGACACAAUUAUAUGCUUUCAAUAAAGCAUUUCAGCAAAUAAUUGAAGUGCAAGUGUUCACACGUACGUGGUAGGGUUUGUGUUACUUUUUAGAGCAGUGCAGUUCUGUGUGCUCCUUGAGAGCUCAGUGUUCUUGAAAACAGGUUCUCCUGAAAUCCUGAAUGAAAUCUGACUGCUACUCCUGUAGACUGCUCACUUGUGCAGGAAGCAGGCUGCAUCAGGAAGGUCCUUCUCCUUUGGAAGAGAAUGGGCUACAACUUCUUGCUGCUCUUUGUAGCAGUUUGUCCACUGGAGCUGCAGGACUUGAGGGGUUUACUUAUGAGGAGUUGCAAUGUAGAUGUUCUGUGUGGUUUGUGGUUGGUAUUUAUUUAUUUAUUUAUUUAUUUAUUUAUUGUGGAAAUACAAAGUGCAUAUAUUUUUUUGACGGCUACUAAUAACAUAGACAAAUACUCUAUAUUCUGUAUUCUAUUGCAUUACUUCUUAAAUAAUAAAAAUCAAAUGCUUUGUAUUUUUAUUUAGUAUCAGAACUGGUCACACUUAGUUCAUAUUUCUUUUUAGGAUACUUUAAGUAGAAGAACACACUUUAAAUUUCACAAUUUGUCAGCUUACCAUAGCUUACUCUUCACCUGUCCACCUAGGAGACAGGGCUGUGCUGGGAUGGAGCAGUGCUGUUUGUGUCACUGGCGCACUGCAGCUGGCUCCUCACCCACACUAAUGCUCACUUUUUCCCCAAAAAGUAUCACAUCGUGGCUUUAAAAGGUGCUGAAGGCAACCUUCUAGAAACUAACUGGUUUUGGAAGCUUGCUAAAAAUGCUGUGACUGGGGGGGGCUUUGCCCAGGGCAUCCUGCAGCACCAGGGGCCUUGCCUGCCUGGUGCGAGGGGAAAGCUGGAGCUGUGCUUGGUGCUCCUGAGUGCCACGGCUGUCAACAGGGACUGGGUGCCUGAUCACAUCAGCAGUUGCUGCCUCUUUUGUUCACUUGUAAUGUGGUUGCUAAUGGAUUCAUUCAAUUUUUCCCCAAACAUCAGUUAAGGUGAGAAUUAAUAUCUGAUAAUGGGGACCAAGAAAUCUCUGAAUGUUAAUGGUAUUAUGCAUGCUCUCUCUACCCCCCUUAUAUUUGCAUUCUAAUAGGAUUGGAAUAUUUCAAUGGCAUUUAAAAACCAACAGAAAACUCAUGUAAAGAGAUUUUGUGUAGGAAGACCCUCAAUGAUGCACCUUUGGAUAAGAAAUCUGGUUCACCAAUUUAUUCCUGAGAUCCCGUUUCAUAACCAGAGAGUGAAGAGACAGAAGUCUGAGUGAUUGUAAACAAAAAUGUAUUUAAGGUGAUUGGAUUUGAAUAAAUAUAUUUCUAGAUCUUA